UACGGAGGAUGCGAGCGUUAUCCGGAUUUAUUGGGUUUAAAGGGUGCGUAGGCGGGCUUUUAAGUCAGCGGUAAAAAUUCGGGGCUCAACCCCGUCCGGCCGUUGAAACUGGGGGCCUUGAGUGGGCGAGAAGAAGGCGGAAUGCGUGGUGUAGCGGUGAAAUGCUUAGAUAUCACGCAGAACCCCGAUUGCGAAGGCAGCCUUCCGGCGCCCUACUGACGCUGAGGCACGAAAGUGCGGGGAUCGAACAGG
rnacentral:rRNA from 1 species